CAGCAGUCGCCACGGUAAAACGUAGGUGGCAAGCGUUGUCCGGAAUUAUUGGGCGUAAAGGGCUCGCAGGCGGUUUCUUAAGUCUGAUGUGAAAGCCCCCGGCUCAACCGGGGAGGGUCAUUGGAAACUGGGGAACUUGAGUGCAGAAGAGGAGAGUGGAAUUCCACGUGUAGCGGUGAAAUGCGUAGAGAUGUGGAGGAACACCAGUGGCGAAGGCGACUCUCUGGUCUGUAACUGACGCUGAGGAGCGAAAGCGUGGGGAGCGAACAGGAUUAGAUACCCCGGUAGUCCCUGUCUCUUAUAC
rnacentral:rRNA from 1 species